rnacentral:tRNA from 1 species
GGGGUUGUGGCUCAGUGGUAGAGCGCUUGCCUAGCAUGCGUGAGGCACUGCGUUAGAUUCUCAGCAACAUAU